AAGUCGUAACAAGGUAUCCGUAGGUGAACCUGCGGAUGGAUCAUUAACGUUCUAUUUGAUAUAGAAAAUAUAAAAGAAGGGGACAUUGUCAGUAAUGAUGGUGUCCCUCUACUUUAUUAUUCUUCUUUUCAAAUAACAACACGUACACCCUUGUGGUGAAUAUAGGAAUUAAGAUUUCUAGUGAGCAAGUGAUGAUUAUAUAUUGUCAUAGCGAGCUAGGAUCUCUUGAUUAUAAACGCUAUUGUUUACAUUUAUUAAGACUAAAGUUUACCUUGUGAAGCGUUGCACCCUGUGUGUAAUGGUUACCAAGUAAAACAAUUAAUAAAUCUAAUACAACUGCUAGCAACGGAUCACUCGGCUCUC
rnacentral:misc_RNA from 1 species